CCGCGGUGCAUCGGGCUGAAACGGUGGCAGCGCCGCAGCCGGGACCGGAGCGCAGGAGCCGACGGGGCCCAGCCGGGAUGGUGCAGCAGCGGCUCCGCGGUGCACACACGCACUGAGUGGGCCCAAGCUGGGCCCCGCGCCCCCCGCGCCCCCCGCCGCCCCGAUCCCGGCCGGCAUGAUGUGCCUGGAAUGCGUCUCGGCGGCGGCGGGCGGCGCGGAGGAGGAGGAGGCGGACGCGGAGCGGCGGCGCCGGCGCCGGGGGGCGCAGCGAGGAGCUGGCGGUGGUGGUUGCUGCGGGGCGCGGACAGCGGGCGCCGCUGGAGUCGCGACCGCCGACGAUGAGGUGCAGACGCUGUCGGCCAGUGUGAGACGGGCCCCUUCCGGACCCCCCAGCACUCCCAGCACCCCAAGCUGCGCAGCCGCUGCCAAGGGCUCGGGCGCACAGCAGCCCAAACCAGCCAGCUUGGGCCGCGGGCCGGGAGCAGCCGCCGCCAUCCUCAGCUUGGGCAACGUGCUCAACUACCUGGACAGGUACACCGUAGCAGGCGUCCUCCUGGACAUCCAGCAGCACUUCGGGGUCAAGGACCGUGGCGCCGGCUUGCUGCAGUCAGUGUUCAUCUGCAGCUUCAUGGUGGCUGCCCCCAUCUUUGGCUACCUGGGCGACCGCUUCAACAGGAAGGUGAUCCUCAGCUGCGGGAUUUUCUUCUGGUCGGCGGUCACGUUCUCCAGCUCCUUCAUCCCCCAGCAGCACUUCUGGCUGCUGGUCCUGUCCCGCGGGCUGGUGGGCAUCGGCGAGGCCAGCUACUCCACCAUCGCGCCCACCAUCAUCGGCGACCUCUUCACCAAGAACACGCGCACGCUCAUGCUGUCCGUCUUCUACUUCGCCAUCCCGCUGGGCAGCGGCCUGGGCUACAUCACUGGCUCCAGCGUGAAGCAGGCGGCUGGAGACUGGCACUGGGCCUUGCGGGUGUCUCCCAUCUUGGGCAUGAUCACGGGAACGCUCAUCCUCGUCCUGGUCCCCGCCACGAAGAGAGGCCACGCAGACCAGCUCGGGGGGCAGCUCAAGGCACGGACGUCGUGGCUCCGAGACAUGAGGGCCCUGAUCCGCAACCGCAGCUACGUCUUCUCCUCCCUGGCCACGUCGGCUGUGUCCUUCGCCACAGGGGCCCUGGGCAUGUGGAUCCCGCUCUACCUGCACCGCGCCCAAGUCGUGCAGAAGACGGCAGAGGCGUGCAGCAGCCCGCCCUGUGGGGCCAAGGACAGCCUCAUCUUUGGAGCCAUCACCUGCUUUACGGGUUUCCUUGGUGUGGUCACGGGGGCAGGAGCCACGCGCUGGUGCCGCCUGCGGACCCAGAGGGCUGACCCACUGGUGUGUGCUGUGGGCAUGCUGGGCUCUGCCAUCUUCAUCUGCCUCAUCUUCGUGGCUGCCAAGACCAGCAUCGUGGGGGCCUAUAUCUGCAUCUUUGUUGGGGAGACGCUGCUGUUUUCCAACUGGGCCAUCACAGCGGACAUCCUCAUGUAUGUGGUCAUCCCCACCAGACGGGCCACCGCCGUGGCCCUGCAGAGUUUCACCUCCCACCUGCUGGGGGACGCCGGAAGCCCCUACCUCAUCGGCUUUAUCUCUGACCUGAUCCGCCAGAGUACCAAGGACUCCCCGCUCUGGGAGUUCCUGAGCCUGGGCUACGCCCUCAUGCUCUGCCCCUUCGUCGUGGUCCUGGGUGGCAUGUUCUUCCUGGCCACCGCGCUCUUCUUCCUCAGCGACCGCGCCAAGGCUGAGCAGCAGUCCCUGCCCAGCACGUCCGGUCUGCCAGCCCCCGUGACGCGAUGCGCCAGAGCAGUGCCCGGGCCCGGCCCCCGCUGAUCCGCCACCUUGACCCCCGCCCGUCUCUCCCUCAGGGUGAACCAGCUGGUGAUGCCACCCGCUUCUGUGAAGGUCUGAGCCGGUGCCGCUGGGACAGUGAAGAGCCCCUGCUCCUACCUGGGCUGGGAGGUGUCCCCAGGCACCCUGGCCCUGCUGGGCCAUCCCGAAGCUUUCCAUGUGACCCACGGCUGGGGACCCACCGGCUCUGGUCCGGGACUGCUGAGUGGCCCUGGCUCCAGGAGGCCGUGUCCUCAACUAACCUGGGAGCCUGUGUGUGCUGGAGCCACGGACAGACCCCUAGGCCUGGGUCUGGGCCGCAGGGGUCCUGGGGCCCAGCAAGACGACAGCCCCCAGGGGACAUGUGGGGAGAGACUGGCCUGUCCCCAGCUUAUGUGAUCCGGGGGAAGUCCCUGCCCUCCCCAGACCGCGGGGCCAGGGGGCCGAACUUUCCCACAGAGCUUGCUGGGCAAGGCACCCUCCGCUGUCCUGAAGACCCAACCACCCCUGGACUGCACAGAGCAGAGGCGGCCCAGGCCUCACGGCGGCACUUCAGGCUCUGAGUGAGGACCACGGCCUUUCAGUUGGGCCUGACCUUGGGGACACUGGACUCAACCUGGCAGAGGUGGGCCCCCAAGUUACCAGGUGCUUCUCCGGCUGGCUGGUCACGCUGGAGAACCCUUGUCUCUGCUGCCUCUGGGGAUGUCAGCCUGGAGGUCUUCCAGGGGGGGACCACCCUGACCGGGAGCUGGCCGCAUCAGGGGUGAAGGCCCUGGUGGCAGCCACACAGCAACCUGGGCCCCAGACUUGAGGCCUUUGGGGGUUCCCCGCCCCUCCAGGGCUCCUCAGAUCCACCACAGCACCCCUGCCGUCCUCCCUGAGCCACCACAGAAGCCAAGAAUUGACUCCAGCCCCCCACCCCCAGGCUGGGUCCUUUCCAGGCGCAGGGCCCAGGGGGCAAUUCCCAGAAUCCACGCAGGAGCAGCCAGGGCUCUGGCUGCCGGAGGAAGCAGCAGCCGCUAAGCUUCCUGUCCAGGGAAGAGCCUGGUGGAGGUGGGGGCCCAUCGGAAGGCCGAGACCCCCAGCCACCUCCCCGCCAGACCCCUGGCCCUCUUGUGGAGUGUCUCCUCUCUCCUCUGCUCCCCACGCACCCUUCCCGAUUGCUGGAAUCAAGGUGGUUCUGGUCUGGGUGCCUCUCGUGGCCAGCGGGAGCCCGAGAGCCAGCCUAGCAUUCUCCGUCCCUAGUUCCUGGCUGCCAUGGCUUCAAUGGUGGGUAAGUUGGUGGGGAACCCACUCCCCACCAAGCUCUGGGGCCCCCUGCGGGGUGGGAUCCCCCAAAGACCAGCCUGGCCUCCACUCCCACCCCAGCCUCAACGGGGGCCCCAGCAAUGUUUUCUUGUUGUACAAGAACCAGGUCCAAGUGUUGCUUCCUCUUCCUUCCGGAAGCCAAACUGCUCCUUUAUUUUUUAGAGCUGCUGAUUGUGAAUCUCAGAGUCUUUAAGAGAGAAGCCAAAUAUAUUCCUCUUGUAAAUGAAUAAAGCUAUUUAAAUCAC